rnacentral:tRNA from 1 species
UCCCUGGCAGUUCAGUGGCCAAGACUCUGCAUUCCCAAUGCAGGGGACCCAAGUUCAAUCCCUGGUCAGGGAA